rnacentral:rRNA from 1 species
GAUGAACGCUGGCGGCGUGCCUAAUACAUGCAAGUCGAGCGAACGGACGAGAAGCUUGCUUCUCUGAUGUUAGCGGCGGACGGGUGAGUAACACGUGGAUAACCUACCUAUAAGACUGGGAUAACUUCGGGAAACCGGAGCUAAUACCGGAUGAUAUUUUGAACCGCAUGGUUCAAAAGUGAAAGACGGUCUUGCUGUCACUUAUAGAUGGAUCCGCGCUGCAUUAGCUAGUUGGUAAGGUAACGGCUUACCAAGGCAACGAUGCAUAGCCGACCUGAGAGGGUGAUCGGCCACACUGGAACUGAGACGCGGUCAAGACUCCUACGGGAGGCAGCAGUAGGGAAUCUUCCGCAAUGGGCGAAAGCCUGACGGAGCAACGCCGCGUGAGUGAUGAAGGUCUUCGGAUCGUAAAACUCUGUUAUUAGGGAAGAACAUAUGUGUAAGUAGCUGUGCACAUCUUGACGGUACCUAAUCAGAAAGCCACGGCUAACUACGUG